rnacentral:lncRNA from 1 species
GAGAAUUUGUCCCACCUUAAUCAAUGUCUAAGAACAGCUAUCCUGAUGCUCCUGCUAGUCUCUACCGAACUGCCAUAAAAUGGUUGCUGCGCAGAUUAGCCAUCUGCUUCAGCGCUUUGAGGUCGGCGACAGUGGGACGAGGAUGGCCGGCCAUAAAGCGCAGUGUCGCCUUUUGCCCGGCCAGGUGCAGCGCGACCCGGGGAUAGGCCCUUGCUCUAAGUACUCACCGAUUGGGUUCUGUUCUCUCACACUGACUCUGCUCAGGAAAAAACAGAAGACUUUAAUUUACUUGAAAUCAUUUUGAUACUUUUUCUCAUUUAAAAUGGCUUUGCACUUUAAAAUUGACUUUAGCUGAAGGCAGUAUGUUGCAGAGUAAUUUUUAUGUUCAGCAUGUGUACAUCUAUAACAUCCAGAAACACUGCUACAGCUGUAUAUGCAGAGCUAAAGCUCCUGCCCUUGAUAUUGAAAAAUAGUUUUCAGGUAUUGUACAGUUACUGUUGGGUUUCUUUUAGAAGGUGAGUUAAUCCAUAGAUGCUUCGCUGGUGGUUACAAAGAAUUAUAUCUGAUUUUUAAUUGAUUGUAUUAUAAUAUAUAAUGUAUACAAUACUUAUGAUUAUAUUACUAUCGAAUUAUUAUAUAUCUAGGUGAUUUUACAGAAGCAGAGAUUUUGGUGUGGAAAUAAAAAUUCCAAGUGUUUGAAACUUUUCA